GUAGGUGGCAAGCGUUGUCCGGAAUUAUUGGGCGUAAAGCGCGCGCAGGCGGUUCUUUAAGUCUGAUGUGAAAGCCCACGGCUCAACCGUGGAGGGUCAUUGGAAACUGGAGAACUUGAGUACAGAAGAGGAAAGCGGAAUUCCACGUGUAGCGGUGAAAUGCGUAGAGAUGUGGAGGAACACCAGUGGCGAAGGCGGCUUUCUGGUCUGUAACUGACGCUGAGGCGCGAAAGCGUGGGGAGCAAACAGGAUUAGAUACCCUGGUAGUCCACGCCGUAAACGAUGAGUGCUAAGUGUUAGGGGGUUUUCCGCCCCCCUUAGUGCUGCAGCUAACGCAUUAAGCACUCCACCUGGGAGUACGGCCGCAAGGCUG
rnacentral:rRNA from 1 species